rnacentral:rRNA from 1 species
UCAAGCGAUUAAGCGCACACGGUGGAUGCCUAGGCAGCCAGAGGCGAUGAAGGACGUUGUAGCCUGCGAAAAGGCUCGGUGAGGUGGCAAACAACCUGUGACCCGGGCAUGUCCGAAUGGGGAAACCCACCCAGCAUAAGCUGGGUAUCCCACACUGAAUCCAUAGGUGUUGGGAAGCGAACCGGGGGAACUGAAACAUCUAAGUACCCCGAGGAAAAGAAAUCAACCGAGAUUCCCCCAGUAGCGGCGAGCGAACGGGGAGCAGCCCGGAGUCUGAAUCAGCUUGUGUGUUAGUGGAACGGUCUGGAAAGUCCGACGGUACAGGGUGAUAGUCCCGUACACGAAAAUGCACUUGCUGUGAACUCGAAGAGUAGGGCGGGACACGUGGUAUCCUGUCUGAAUAUGGGGGGACCAUCCUCCAAGGCUAAAUACUCCUGACUGACCGAUAGUGAACCAGUACCGUGAGGGAAAGGCGAAAAGAACCCCGGCGAGGGGAGUGAAAAAGAACCUGAAACCGUGUACGUACAAGCAGUGGGAGCCUCUUUAUGGGGUGACUGCGUACCUUUUGUAUAAUGGGUCAGCGACUUAUAUUCUGUAGCAAGGUUAACCGUAUAGGGGAGCCGAAGGGAAACCGAGUCUUAACUGGGCGUUAAGUUGCAGGGUAUAGACCCGAAACCCGGUGAUCUAGCCAUGGGCAGGUUGAAGGUUGGGUAACACUAACUGGAGGACCGAACCGACUAAUGUUGAAAAAUUAGCGGAUGACUUGUGGCUGGGGGUGAAAGGCCAAUCAAACCGGGAGAUAGCUGGUUCUCCCCGAAAGCUAUUUAGGUAGCGCCUCGUGAACUCAUCUUCGGGGGUAGAGCACUGUUUCGGCUAGGGGGCCAUCCCGGCUUACCAACCCGAUGCAAACUACGAAUACCGAAGAAUGUUAUCACGGGAGACACACGGCGGGUGCUAACGUCCGUCGUGAAGAGGGAAACAACCCAGACCGCCAGCUAAGGUCCCAAAGUCAUGGUUAAGUGGGAAACGAUGUGGGAAGGCACAGACAGCCAGGAUGUUGGCUUAGAAGCAGCCAUCAUUUAAAGAAAGCGUAAUAGCUCACUGGUCGAGUCGGCCUGCGCGGAAGAUGUAACGGGGCUAAACCAUGCACCGAAGCUGCGGCAGCGACACUAUGUGUUGUUGGGUAGGGGAGCGUUCUGUAAGCCGUUGAAGGUGUGCUGUGAGGCAUGCUGGAGGUAUCAGAAGUGCGAAUGCUGACAUAAGUAACGAUAAAGCGGGUGAAAAGCCCGCUCGCCGGAAGACCAAGGGUUCCUGUCCAACGUUAAUCGGGGCAGGGUGAGUCGACCCCUAAGGCGAGGCCGAAAGGCGUAGUCGAUGGGAAACAGGUUAAUAUUCCUGUACUUGGUGUUACUGCGAAGGGGGGACGGAGAAGGCUAUGUCAGCCGGGCGACGGUUGUCCCGGUUUAAGCAUGUAGGCGGAGGUUCCAGGUAAAUCCGGUACCUUAUUAACGCUGAGGUGUGAUGACGAGGCACUACGGUGCUGAAGUGAUAAAUGCCCUGCUUCCAGGAAAAGCCUCUAAGCAUCAGGUAACACGAAAUCGUACCCCAAACCGACACAGGUGGUCAGGUAGAGAAUACCAAGGCGCUUGAGAGAACUCGGGUGAAGGAACUAGGCAAAAUGGUGCCGUAACUUCGGGAGAAGGCACGCUGAUAUGUAGGUGAAGCCCCUGCGGGCGGAGCUGAAAUCAGUCGAAGAUACCAGCUGGCUGCAACUGUUUAUUAAAAACACAGCACUGUGCAAACACGAAAGUGGACGUAUACGGUGUGACGCCUGCCCGGUGCCGGAAGGUUAAUUGAUGGGGUUAGCGGCAACGCGAAGCUCUUGAUCGAAGCCCCGGUAAACGGCGGCCGUAACUAUAACGGUCCUAAGGUAGCGAAAUUCCUUGUCGGGUAAGUUCCG